CGUAACAAGGUCUCCGUUGGUGAACCAGCGGAGGGAUCAUUAUAGAGUUCUUAAAAAACUCCCAACCCAUGUGGACAUACCUCCAGUUGCCUCGGCAGGUCGUACCUACCCGGUGAAGCCUUACCCUGUGAGGCCUGCCCCGUAGGCGCGGACAAGCCUGCCAGUGGAACUACAAACUCUGUUUAUCAUUGUAAUUCUGACACUAUAACUUAAUAAGUUAAAACUUUCAACAACGGAUCUCUUGGUUCUGGCAUCGAUGAAGAACGCAGCGAAAUGCGAUAAGUAAUGUGAAUUGCAGAAUUCAGUGAAUCAUCGAAUCUUUGAACGCACAUUGCGCCCAUUAGUAUUCUAGUGGGCAUGCCUGUUCGAGCGUCAUUUCAACCCUUAAGCCCUGUUGCUUAGCGUUGGGAGCCUACAGCCCGUAGCUCCCCAAAGUUAGUGGCGGAGUCGGUCUCACACUCUAGACGUAGUAAAUUCAUCUCGUCUGUAGUUGGGCCGGUCCCCUGCCGUAAAACCCCCCAAUUCUUAAAGGUUGACCUCGGAUCAGGUAGGAAUACCCGCUGAACUUAAGCAUAUCAAUAAACGG
rnacentral:rRNA from 1 species